GAUGAACGCUGGCGGCGUGCCUAAUACAUGCAAGUAGAACGCUGAAGGAGGAGCUUGCUCUUCUGGAUGAGUUGCGCACGGGUGUGUAACGCGUAGGUAACCUGCCUGGUAGCGGGGGAUAACUAUUGGAAACGAUAGAUAAUACCGCAUGACAACAGUUAUUGCAUGAUAACUGUUUAAAAGGGGCAACUGCUCCAUUACCAGAUGGACCUUCGUCGUAUUAGCUAGUUGGUGGGGUAACGGCGCAACAAGGCGACGAUACAGAGCCGGCCUGAGAGGGGGGUCGGCCAGCCUGGGACUGGGACCCGGCCCAGACUCCCUCCGGAAGGAGCAAUAGGGCAACGUCAGGCAGGGGCGGAAAUCUGACCGAGCAACGCCGCGGGGGUGUAGAAGGUUUUCGGGUCGGAAAGCUCUGUUGUAAGGGAAGAAACAGUUUGGGAGUGGAAAGUUCACACUGUGACGGUACCUUAACAGAAAGCGACGGCUAACUACGUG
rnacentral:rRNA from 1 species